rnacentral:lncRNA from 1 species
GUUGCCCAGGCUGGUCUUGAACUCUUGGGCUCAAGUGAUCCUCGCAUCUCAGCCUCCCAAAGUGCUGGGAUUACAGGCAUGAGCCACAGCACCCGACCUUGUAUCAUUUUAAUUAAUUUAAAAUUAAUCGUAAGUAGCCACAUGAGGCUAGCGGCCACCAGACAGCACAGCCCUGGUGUGCUCUGGGACCCAGUCGGGCAGGCACCCCUAUGCUGGCUGGGGCCUGGGGCCGCCCCACUUCUCUCAACACUGAUGGGCAUGAGCAUUCCUCACCCCAGGGCUCUGAGCACCUCACAGAUGGGGGGUUGUGCCACCCUAGCAGUCCCUGCCCCCUGGGAGGCUGGGGAACCCUCUCCUCAGUGGGCAGAUAGGGAGACCCAAGCCUAGGGAAGGAAAGUAACUAACUAACUCAGGGUCACACAGCAGGGGCAGGAAUAGCAACCUGGGCUGCUGGACUCACACCCCAAUCAUUCGGAAGGUGGGCAAGCCCAGAGUCCCUUUGGCUUGGGGCAUGUAGGUCAUUUUCAGGUAACAAAGCACUUCCCCUAAGCCUCCAAAUAAGGAACUUAUUUUAGAUAAAAUCCCCCACAAGGGUCCUGGGGAAAUUCCUGUUUCCUAAGUAAGCAAACAGAGGUUGAGCGUUCAGACACUCGAGUCAGACCUGGGGACACUUCAAGCUCCCCGGCUUACUCUGGGUGACCUUGGCACCUAACUUUAGGUCUCUGAGCCUCAGUUUCCUCCUCCAUCAAUGAAAACAGAAACUACAUGGCUUCACGAGAUUGCUACGGCUGUGCAUAGCCUCAGUGUGGGGCAAGUGGCAACUCUCAGCAACCACGGGGUUACGCUCAUCUGGGUGUAGGAGGUGCGGGUACUGCUGGAGCAGGGUGGAGGGGACACGGCUGCUGUCUCUGCAAGAGGAAAAGGAUAACCAGCCUGAGAGUGAGUGGGGGGUGAGGUGGGGGUGGGGUUGUCGCUGUGGCAGGUUCCAGAGCUGGCUAGGAUUCCCAAUCACUGCUGCUCUUGGGCCCCAGGUGAAGUACUUAUCUGGGAGUCUCAGUUUCCCUGCCCGAGAUCGGCAGGCUACAAGUGCCCCCCAGGUGUUUGGGCAGGACCCUGGGACCCUUCUCCGGGCUGGCAAUUGGGUGUGAUCGCGGGAAGAGGCUUCUUGGGCCUGCUCCGUGUCUACUGUCACCCAGGCUGUAAAGAUGACAGAGGGCCGGAGCGGCUCUCCAGGCUGGGGCCUGGCAUUUCACAGCACUAGCGCCCUGUGACUUAUGGACCACAAGAAGCUGUGAUUUAUACAACGUGAGGCAGAGCUCCUGGGCUCGUGAGUUCCCUUCUGAGAUGAAGUGCCUUGCAGAAGCAGCAGCUGCUUAGCUGAUGCGAGGGGACUCCGAGGCCCAUCCAUCUCCCUAGGAGGCUGGGCAGCGUUUUGCUGAAGUGGCUGAACACAGGUGCAUCUGUUACUGUCUCCAGAAACCAUCAAAGAGCUGAACUUGUCCCUGAGAGGCAGCUCAGAGGGCAGGAAGGGGAGACCCACCCAGGCCAGCUGAGGCAGCUUCAGGACGCUCAGGGGGAAGCACUUGGUACCACGCCUGGCACAGGGAGGAGGCUUGGAGCAAGCUUCUCUCUCCUGGAGCGACGGCCCGGAGUGCAAACAUACCCACCUCCAGUGGGUGCCAGCCCAAGUGUGAGCUUUAUUGGCUCAUCAGCCCGCACAGCAUCAGCCCAGUUUUACAGAUGAGAAAAGUGAGGGUCAGGAAUGUGAAAUGGCCCGCCCAAGGCACACUCCCUAAGUGGCAGAACCACGCAGAAAGCACAGCCCCGACUCCACCCCGGUCUGUUCAGCGCUGGCCCCACCGGCAGAGAAGCAAGCUGGUGCUAAUAAUUCCACCCCACGUGGAACCGGUGCCCAGAAGCCCCGCUGGAUCUUUGCCGCCUCGUCUUUGGGUGAUAGUUGUUGUCAGGGCUUCCCUUUAGGUGGGCGAAAAUAUCUGUUUACCCAGGAAUGGAGCAAUUUCCCAGGCGAGUCUCUAACUAGCUAAAUGCCUGGUCCUGCCUCCGUCGCAGGGAAGCCGCCCACUGUGAAACACGAGCCACUCAGCAGGGAAAUGUUUAAGCGGCACCCGCUGCACACCGGGAGCGGCGGGGCGAGGGGCGGGGGCGUUCCCGGUGAUUCCACACCCCGGCCCAGCAUGGUGCCUGUCCCAGGAGCCUGGCCACACCCAGUGAGGUGGAACAGGGCUGGCGGAGGGCUGGACCCUGGACCACUGUGCAGGCUGUCCCUGCACUGAGUCAGCCGGGUUUAAAUGGACGAGGUCGCGGUCCACUCGGUCCAGGGUAGGUCAACAGGGCACCCACACCCUCUCAGCCAUGCAGGGGACCCUGGGGGAAGAAGGCUGGAUUGGACCAUGGUCUCAGGCAGGGGCGUGGUCUGGCCCCUUCAUCCUGGGCGUGCAGGGCUGUUCCAUGGGGAUCGUCGCAGAGUAGAGUGCACAGUGCCGGUGUGAGCCCACGGGGACAGCAUGGAGGAGUAGGUCCUCCCUCAGCCUUUGCCCCCACCAAUGCUGACAACGGUGGGGCCAGCAGGGCUUUGGCCCUGGCUGGUGGGGCACUGUGGGGUGGGCUCUUCCAGUGUGGAGAUGACCUUGGGCAGGGGCUGCAGGUUCCAUUCACCCUGCAAGGAAGGGGGCAGAAGGUAAACUGAGGCUGGAGGGGCAAGAUGGGUGGCUGCUUCCCCAGCCACCUCUUGGAUUCUUGCCCUCAAACUCAGCUUGUCUCAAACUGAACUCACUCUUCUCCCCCAAGUUGCUUUUUGGGGGUCCUCACCUCAGUAAAUGCCCCCUCCCCUGGCUUCCCAUUCACCUAGUCAGGAACCUGGGAGUCAUCCAGGCCUCUCCCCGCCUCUGUCCCCACCCCAUUUAAUCAUUCACCCUAAUGUAGCAACCAGAGCCCCUGGCUGCAGGCUCUGAUAUUUUGUAGCUAUCUCUUCCCCUCAAGGCUACACCAAAUGCCAAGUUUUCAACCCCAUCAGACGCCCACCCCAAUGUAGCAACCAGAGCCCCUGGCUGCAGGCUCUGAUAUUUUGUAGCUAUCUCUUCCCCUCAAGGCUACACCAAAUGCCAAGUUUUCAACCCCAUCAGACGCCCACCCCACACUAUUCUCAGCAAGCCAGUAUUAGCCCUUCCUUCCCUUGGUGCUGAGGAUGUUUGACUUAGCAGUUAAUCUGGCUCCCAAAUGCUUCUGGGAAGGAUCUUCCUGGAUCUCCAGGCUGCGGCACCUUAUGCGACUAACUCUGCAUAGGCCCUGGGCUCCUGACCACAGCCCGCUGGGCUCAGGAUAAAUUAGAUGCCUUCGAAUACCAGUGGGUCUCAGAUAAGGAGGAAAAAACCAGCUCGCAGCUACAGACUGGUUCGUUUCUUACCUUCCCCUCCCCUGGUGCUUUAUUUUUAGGCAGGUUAGUGCGCCCUGCUCACACCACCUGCAUUUGGCAUUCGGUACAGUGUGGAGGUGUCACCAGAGAGGGUGCCUGCCCUCCCUUCUUUGCCUCGUUAUUGGUGCUCUCUCUCUCUCCUCUCUCUGCUGGCUGGCUGUCUGUCUAGGCCUAUGUGUCACCCCCUGGCACUUGCUCUCAUUGUCUUGUGCGAGUGCUUUUGCCAGCAGUUUGGAGUGCAGGCCCAUCACCCCUCACUGGGGCCCCCCAUGAGGCCUGCCCGACUGCAUGCCCCACCCGGGCCCAUGGCAGCGCACCUGGAAGCGGACGGCUGAGGACUUGUUGCAGUGCAUGGAGAUGGGCGCGAAGCUGUACAGGGCCUUCAGUACAUCGCGGUUGAAGGAGUUCCAGGGAACAGAGGAUCCCAAAGCCCCCCUGCAAGAUGGAGAAGACCCGUCAACCCCGGGCCAUGCCACGCAGACGCUGCCAUCCAGCAGCUUCGCCACACCCACGUGUUCACUGCGUCCACUCGUCUGUUCACUGCACCGUGCCAGGCAUGCUCUGGGGAACCGAGUCCCUGCCCUCACGGAAUUGCCACCAUUGGCAGGAGAGACAGGCAGUGAGUGAGUCAACCAGGAAAUUCAUAUCAGGUACUGAUGUUGCUGUGAAGAAAAAUGAAACGGGACAAGCGGAUGGGGUGUUAUUGUGCCCAUUUUAUGGGUACAGAAACUGAGUCUCAGAGCAGGCAAGGGGACGCCCCGUGGUGGCCACAGCAUCGGUGGCACAGCCUGAGUGGACCCAGCCUCCCGGCUGUUGUCUGGAAGCUGUCCCCAUGACCUCCAGCGAGAGCCUGGAGCCAAGGACUGCAAGGGAGGCCCUUUCCACUGCAGCCCCGCACCGUCCACCAGUCAUUUCUCCAACGUGGCUCUGAGGGGAGCAGGGACUCUAGAAGACAGGACCGUGACUAGAGGCCGCGACAACCUCCAGCCUCUCACGGCAACCCUACGGCCUGCCAUCGCAUGGGAGGGGCAGGGCAGGCACCCUCUGAGUCCCCACUGCCAGCUUUAAGCCCCUCGCUGGGUUGCUGCUCUUGGAGCUGGUGACCGUGGAGCCUCAGCCAUAGGAGGAAGAACAGCAGCAGCUUGGAGGAGCUGGGGCUGGAGAGAGCAAAGCUCCCCCGGCAGCUGCUCAGACCCCAGCAGGUCAGGGGCCGGGACAUGACGCCCUGGCCACCCUUGCCCCUCCAGGCUCCCUGCUGUUUGUGAAGCUGCUGUAGGCCUGGGGAUUUCAUCUGGCUGGUGGGGAAGAAAGGCAAUCUUUACUCUAUGGCAGAACAAAGGGACUGGGCAAAGCUCGGCGUGGCACUUACACCAGCUGCCACCCCCUCCUCCCGUGCAGACAAAGAGCAUGGGACAGUUCUGCCCAGAGACGAAACCUGGCACCUGUUGGCCAGGACGGGUUUUUGCCAGCAUUGUUCUCUGGGCCGGAUUCCUCCUUUCCCAGCUUUUCUCAUCCAUCCCGCCCCCGUCAGAUCGGGACGAUUGCCCUCCUGUGUGAGUUCCUGUCCCUCCCCACCCUCUGCCGCCACAGACAUCAAAAGGGAACUGAGUCCAACCCUGUGUAGAAUCUGUUCUCCUCUUUCCCCUGGGGAAGGAAAUCGAAUUUCAAAGGCCACUGUGUCUUGGAUCAGCAGGUGAGGGCUUCUCAGAGUGUGAGAAGCUCAGGUCCACCUGGGGAGCUGCCCUCCCCUUUGAUCCCACCUGGUGCUGUGAUGUGGCCACUGCCAAGAGGAGGGCAUGGGCCAGGGAAGCCACAGAACUGCCCACGGGGACGCUGGCACCGAGGGCCUCAACCUGCAGAACGGCCAUCUGAGAUGUCCAUGGUGCUCACCAGGCCUGGCAGCCCCGAACGCCCUGGGACGUGGCGUCAGUUCCGCCGCCGUGAAGCCAGGUUGGGCAGGGAACAUGCAGUCUCCUCGCUGGAUGCCCGGCAAGACCCUCCCAUCCCUGGCCCCAGGGCCGUGCCUGCAGAAUGGGGCUGAUGGUGGGGACUUGCCUGGGGUGCUCCACCUGCAGAACCCUCUGUUUGCGAGCCCACUCAGUCACUGCACAGGUGCUUAGCCGAGAGGCGGCACAGUCGGGGUUGGCACCUGCACCCAUACCAGCCCUACCUCCUGUUCGCUGUGUGGCCUGAGUGGCUGGACCUCACUGUAUCUCCUGGUGGGAUUGCUCAGAGGUCUCAGCAAGGCUUGGUGUGGUUAGGAUGAGUUAUUAGAGCAGUGCUGAGCUGUGGCAAGCACCCGACAUCAGCCACUGCUGUGGUAUACUGGGCACCUCCUCUGGAGAGAAUAAAGGACUGACAAAGCUGUCCUGCCCCCACCCUGAGUUUGUGAUCAGGAACCUAGGACACUUUUGUCACCUGAAAUCCAAGGGAGACAGGAAGGGUGUGGUAAGAGCUGUGAGGCACAAGACCCUGGGUCAAAUCCCAGCUCAGCCAUCUAUCAGCUGUGUGACUUUGGUCAAGUGCCUGCCCUCUCUGAGCCUUUAUGUCUCACCUGUGAAAAUACAAACACUGGCUGGGUGCUAUGGCUCAUGCCUGUAAUCCCAGCAUGAGGGAUUACAUGAGGAGUUUGAGACCAGCCUGGCCAACAUGGUGAAAAUCCAUCUCUACUAAAAAUACAAAAAUUAGCCAGGCGUGGUGGUGGGUGCCUGUAGUCCCAGCUAUUCAGGAGGCUGAGGCAGGAGAAGCGCUUGAACUCAGGAGGUGGAGGUUGCAGCAAGCUGAGAACACACAGCCUGG